rnacentral:rRNA from 1 species
AACGGUCAUACCAUAGUGAAUAUACCGGUUCUCGUUAGAUCACAGAAGCCAAGCAUCAUUGGGCGCGUUCAGUACUUGGGUGGGUGACCACCUGGGAACACCGCGUGCCGUU